GCAUUAAUGGGGUAGUGGUAACCUGGGUCGUUGCCAUUGAUCGAACAAUAGUUCGACCCGCCGGGGGUUCGAUUCCCCCUUAAUGCA